rnacentral:lncRNA from 1 species
UCAACAACGUCAAGAGGGUACUGAAGAAAUGGAAGACAUCAGAGGAUCAACAAAGGAAGAUGAUGGCUUAGCUGGAAGAGGAGGUCAACAAAGAUGAAAGUUUGCUUCAACAAACACCGUUUGAUGAAGCAAUUCAUGAUAGGUUAGAAGCCACAAAUAGGAAGAUAGAUGCCCUAACUAAAACGCAAUAGGAAAAUGCUAGACAAAGGAGUAGAGCCUACUAGUUGCACCUAGGGGAUAAGAAUACUAAGUUCUUUGCAGCCAUGACCAAACAGAGAAAAGCAUUAAAUUCUCUAUACAGGAUGCUAGGGCCAAAUGGGAGGGUAAUGGUGUCUAGGAGUGAGAUGGAGGAGAAGACCCUAGCACAUUUUAAGAACCUGUUUGCUGAAGGGGAGGAGAGCAUCUCUAGGGAAACUAGGAAUUUUACAAAGAGAGUAACACCACAACAGAACCUAGACCUAGAGCAAAUCCCUACCUAUGAAGAGGUAAAAAAGGUUGUAAUGAGCCUAAAUCCAGAUAAGAGCCCUGGUCCAGAUGGGUUUAAUGGAGCCUUCUUUAGGGCUUUUUGGACCAUAAUGGACAAGGAUCUAGUAAAAGCAAUACAAUCAAUUUUCGUAGGGGACCCACUCCUAAGGCAAGUGAACUCCACCUUUGUGACCUUAAUACCAAAAAUCAAAAAUCCUACUAGAUUGGAUCAAUUCAGACCAAUAUCAUGUAUUAAUACAACAUAUAAGAUCCUAUCUAAGGUCAUCACAAAUAGGGUGGUUCCAGUAGUAGACACCAUAAUAGACAACAACCAAACAGCCUUCCUCCCAGGAAGGCUAAUUGGGGACAAUUACCUACUAGCAACAGAGAUGGUGACAGGUUUUGGGAGGGGAAAUGGAGGGGCCAAUGCCGCUAUAAAGGUUGACCUAGCAAAGGCCUUUGACACAGUGAGCUGGGAGGCGAUAGAGGGUACAAUGGUAGACCUAGGAUUCAGCCAGAAGAUUGUGAGGAUAAUAAUGAUGUGCAUCACCACAUCAUCUCUGUCCUUCCUUGUAAAUGGCUCACCCACACCACAAAUCCAACCCAGGAGGGGAAUCAGACAAGGUGACCCCUUAUCACCCUACAUAUUUGCUCUAAUAAUGCAGAAUCUAACCAUUCUAAUCAAUGAGCGGGUAGCUAAGAAACAGAUUAGUACCUUUAAGAAACACAAUGUGAUGGGUAUAUCACACCUCAUCUAUGCAGACGACCUCCUUAUCUUUUGCAAAGCUAGGGAGGAGUCGUUCAAGUCGGUAAACGAGGUAUUCAGACUGUUUGAGGAAAGAACAGGGCUGAAGGUGAGUGAGCCAAAAAGUGAAGUCUUCUUCUCGAACUCCACCAAAGAGAAGGAAACCUUGCUAACCCAUCUAAAAUUCAAGGAGGGAGAGUUCCCCACAACCUACUUAGGUUUACCUUUGUCUCCUAGAAUACUAUACCAAAAGGACUGUGCACCUCUGAUAGAUAGGGUGAAUGGGAUGGUAGAGGGAUGGAAAACAAGACUACUAUCCCAUGCGGGCAGAGUUCAAUUAUACCAUUGGGGGAUAAUGGGAAUUUUUAAUUUUUGGAACAUGUCUAGCAGGCUCCCGGUGGAAACACUAAAGAAGCUACAAUCCAUUAUAUAUAGGUACAUAUGGAAUGGGAAACAGGAUAUGUCUUGGGCACAAAUGGUGCUACCCAAGAACGAGGGUGGGCUAGGACUAAGGAGCUAUCAUGAGUCGGCUGAGGCAGCCAGACUAACAAGAUUAGGAAGGAUAUGGUCAUCCCAAGACUCCAUAUGGGCCUCAUGGAUGAGGGGUAGAUACGUAGGUGGGAGGGGACUACUGAGCAUUAGUAAGCACCCAAGUUUAGACUCAGCUUUAUGGGCUGAAAUAAUUGACUAUAAAAAUGAAAUAGUGAAAACCUUAAGAUGUGAUCCCAACUACGAUUGUACUUGGGAGGGCAAAGGGACUUCGCUAACCUAUAAAAAUGCUUGGGACUCCGUGAGGGAAACAGAGGAGGUAGACAAUUACUGGGAGGGAAUUUGGACAACUAGUGUGAGAAAAUUCAGUAUGACACUUUGGAGAGCUAGAUGGUCCAAAAUCUCUAUGAGGGCAGAUUGGGCGGGUAGAAUGGGGGGAGAUGCCACGGAUUGCAUUUUAUGUGGGGGACCAUGGGAGUCACAAGACCAUGUGUUCUUUAAAUGCAAAUUCUCUAAGGACUUGUGGAAUUAUAUAUUAUCUGCGAAACCCCGUUUGAUUACAUGUGCAGGUCUAUCUUUAAAACAGGUUAUGGAUGAAGCACAAGCAAGAACAAAAAACUCAAUAUGCUGGGGAAUGACUUGGGCUUACAUUGCUGCAGUGGUGUGGGGGAUAUGGACAGAAAGGAACAGGAGGGUUCAUGAGGAUAGACGGACCAGGCCACAAGAGAUUGGGAGAAGACUAGUGGAAGAUAUCACCUCAACAUUCAUGCCGAGCAGGUACAAGGCAAUAGGGACAACUCAGGAACAAAGGAUGGCACAAGGCUGGAAUUGCGGGGGGGGAAAUGCCCCAAGUUAAUUGCUGUUUUAUUUUUGGUGUAUUUAAUUAAACUGCUUGUUGCAACUUAAAUUUGGUAGGAACAAAUAACAUGUAAUUGGUAGGCUAGCGAUAGGGGAGGGUUCAAUUAAAAAUAGAACCCAAACCUAUCAAUGGCAAAGGUCUAGCAUGUAUGGUACAUGGACUGAUCUAAAAAUCAUGUCCAUUAGGAACCCCUGGCCCAAUAGGGACAAGGAUCUUCCUAAGUCAUAGUAGAAACGAUAUGUGGAAUCACUUACAAAUUAGUGGACCGAAAGGUGAUGGCAGAGUUUUCCCUUGGAAAAGGAAAAGAGGCCAUGGGCACACCAGGGUUUUUACACUCCCCAUUGUCCAAGGCCCACUAUGUGAGAACGAUGAGGCAUAGAUCGUUAUAGGAACCAUUGAGUCAGUCCCCAAAGGCUUGGAAGAUUAGGCGAUCGUAAGAUCAAAUAAUUGGAUAAGCGCGGAGGGCGUGAGGUGGACCGUCUGUGGUCGCACUUCUUUUUUGUUAAGAUCUUUUAUAUUAUCAGUGAUUUUAACUCAAAAAAAAUUGGCUGCCACAAUUCGCCACAAGCCCAUGAACGCUUGGCUGCCACAAGCCCAUGUGAGAGUGAGAUAGAGGCGAUUGGGAGGGCGAUUAAAGGGCGAUCGUGUGUUCUUGGUUUCUUGCAGGUCUAGGAGUACGGCAGCACGGAGGGAGAGAGAAGAUUCCAGAGAAAUUUCAAAAUCAGGAUAUUUUACUAUUAAAUAUAUACUAUUUUCUAUUGUUUUUUAAAUUUUUAGGAUUAAACAUCACUGUUCAUUGUCCUCUUUCGCUGCAGGACACUCGUACUUCUUCUCCAUGGAGAACAUCUCCAUGGAGGUCGAUAAAGGCGGAGUUUGGACGGAGGUUAAUAGAAGGAACAAGGGAAGGUCUGGAGGGGAUUUUAAUCCGGUAGUUGGGACGCCGGCCAGAGGAGGAAGAGGUGGUCGCAGUCGCAGGGGCGGGAGGAGCUCUGUGCUGAAAACGCGAGGACGACGACAAGUUACGAACCCAUUCGAGGCUCUGACGCCGGAGGAGAAGGAGCGGGAAAUCAAUAGGCACAAGUGGGCGAGGCUCGCGGGGGACGGCUUCCUGCCGAAGGCUACGACGGAGGACGACGCUUGCAGGAGGGAACGGAUUCGGACAGGGAUGGGUUCACCGGAAGACGUAACUCUGCUGGAACUACAGCGCCGUGUACAUGCGGAGGUAAGACGCAACUCAAUGCUUGCAGGCGAUGGAACACUGUCGGGAACGAAAGACCAGUCGGAGAUUGAGAGAAGAGCAAGGGCGAGAGCCGGGAAAGCCACUGCCGAAGACAUCGCGGAGUUGGAAAAACAGAGGAUCGCAAGACGACAAUACGUGCAGAGGGCAAGGCUGGUUGACGAUGGAUGCCUUGGCCCUACUGGAGACAAUAUCGAAUUGCGGAGGCGAGCCAGAGUCAGGGAAGGCACCGCGAUACCAGAAGAUAUGACGGCCAUUGAGAACCAGCGUCGGGCAGCGAUGAUACAGAGGAUCGCGAACUUUAAGAACCCAUCGGUGCACAAAUCUUUCGCAUCUGUGUUGAAGCAGGCACCGGUGCUUCCAGAAGGAGUUACAACUGGACUGACCUACACGAAGCCUGCAGAACGAAAUGGGAGGACGGGGGCAUUACUGGGAGGGGAAUUAAUUAAGAAAUUGGAGAAGACGAGGUUCGCCGGAACGCUGCUGGUCCGGCGACUGGUUGACGAGAAGAUAUACCCACGCUUCGCGAGAAAUUUCAUCAAACAGGUAUGGGGAAUUAGUGGGGACCAAUUCGAGGUGCAGGUGAGGCAGUCCGGAGUGCUACUAAUCCAAUUCAGGCGGGGGGGAGACUACACGACAGUGAAGGACGCCGGCGACACUUGGAUGGAUGGGGUGUAUACGAUAGUGAGGAAAUGGACUGAAGGGAAGGCUAUGGAAAACGCGAAGGUCAAAACAUUGCCGAUUUGGGUAGGGUUACCGGAAUUCCCUGCGCAUAUGUGGUGCCAAGAGGUCUUCUCCACAAUCGGAAGUGUGUUGGGUUCGCCGGUAAAAACAGACGCACAUACGGCUAAAGGUUCAAACCCCAAUGGUGCAAAGUUACUGGUAAUUAUGGAGGCAACAGGGAGCUUCCCAACGGAAGUCCCAAUUUACAUUCAAGGGGACGGUGGGGUGGAGUCGGAGGAAACUUGCAGAGUCAACUAUCUGAAAAUGCCGCCGAUCUGCAAAAAGUGCAAUUCCUUCGUCCAUCAGGCGGAGCGUUGCAGAUUCGAGGAAGAGGCACCGGACGAAGUAGUCGGUGACCAGGAAGGGGCAAGGAGCAAAAAUCCGACGAUUGACGGAGAGAACAGCGAGAAAUCGAACGACGCAAACCGCUCUGAAACUCCCGCGAAGAACGACUCGGCUGGAGAAGACAGUCGACGUGGAGACGACGUGGCACAAAAACCCAAUCGGGAGGAGACAACUAAUGCUGAUGUGGCGAUGGGAACAAAUAGAAGAAGGCCAAAUCUUGAUGACGUGGACACAAGGGUCCUCAUAAAGGAGCUACAGAACCGGAUAUUAACAGAGCUGAUCGAAUCCGGGCAGGCGGAUAAGCAAGCGGGCGGGGAAGAUCCAUAUAGCGAGAUUGGGGAAGAAAAUGGAAGUAUAUACCAAUCAAUAUGUGGAAAAGUCAACAUGGGCAUAACCGGACCCGGGUCGGGCGGGCAAAUCGAACUAAAGGAAACCCAAUUAGAGAACGAUGGAGAAGAAACAGAGGAUUUAAGAAACAGGGCACUUCAGAGCAAGAAGGGGAAGGAGGAAGAUGAUGUUCCAGGGGAAGACCGUACAAUGAAUUGCCAGCGGAGGAGGAAGAAAAAGUUUCACGCUAGCAAGGACAAGCUGCAGAGAGAAGAUUCUCCACACUGUACGAUGGUGCAAACGCUAGCGGAAAGGAGGAGCGGGAUAGAAAACCAGGGUGGAACCCAACGUGAAACAGUGCAAGUCACCUCUGGGAAAAAGAGAACACGCGGUACGGAGGAUAUGGGAAGAGAGGACGUCGACGAUAAUGCAGAAUUCGUAGAGAUGGACAGUACAUCGACGGAUUUGAUCGUUAUACCAGUCGACGGUGACCUGGCAAAAUACGGAAGGAAGAAGAACGGUGAGGAAGACGAGUGCAGUGGAGUCAAUUAUUUAUUAAGGGGGGGGGGCUCUUAAAUAAAUUUCACAUGCCAGGCCUGAUCAGUCUGAACCAAUUCGGCAAAUCGAAAAUUCCAGGUCAGGUGCGUCUAAAUAAACACAUUUAUGGUCUGGACCAAUUGAGAUCAAUUAAGCUCUGGGGUGAGAAAAUAAGGUUCAGCCAAGAUCAAGUAACUACUGCAAGUGAAAUGCCAAGACUAACCCCGAGUCAACGAGUGGACCAAGGGGCAGAACAGACAAAAUUAGUUGGAAAGGAGGACCCGAUAACGUUUAAAGCGCAACCCAAAUCCAAAGAGGGGAAACUCAGAAAGGGGGAAGGAUUGAAAUCGAAAAGGGGAAGCGGUAGGAACCCGACCCGACCGGAGACCCGAAUAGCUGAACUUAAAAUUAAAAAGAAAACAGAGAUAUUGCCGGCAAGCGGAGGAAGGUACAGCACAGACUUAAGGAACCAGUCGCCGAUGACCACCAGGGCGGCGGCCAGCAACAAGAAAGUAGUGCAAACCGAGGACGCGUUGUCAAUGAUCCAAGACGCAUUGGAAUUGUCCACGCCGGUAACCAAUUUGGUGAAGAGAAAUAGAUCGCCAAGAAUCCCCAGUGGUGGGUUGCGGAAGAAACACAGGGAGAGCGACGAAACAGAGGAAAUAAUGGCGGAGGAUGAGCACGAGGGAGAACAACACCAGAUUGAGAAGCUCGGGGAAGUGAUCUCGCUACAGCAGAAUGGUGAAUUAACACCCAAUCGGGAAAACAGUCAAUUAAGCAAGGAUACAGAGCAACGGCAGGAUCGAUCUGGGAAAGCUCCAGGAACCCAUACGUCGACUUCGAGAGGUAAAAAAUUAUCUAAAAAUAAAUCCAAACAGAAAGCAAGGAGAGAAGUGGAGCUAGAAGCUGGGGCAUCUGCGGAGAAGGAGAUAUCGAUGAAGACCAGAGAAGACUAUCUGCUCAAUCCUGAACGACUCACGAACUGCAUAUCGGACAGACUGUCGGGAGCUCUAGAUUUUGCGGAGGAAGUCGGGAAUGAUGACGUCUCUGAUGGGGAAUAUGAGAUAGGCAGAAUUGUAUGGGACAAGCUGCCGGGAGAUGCGAUUACGAGAGAGGAGCAAAUUCAGGGUGAUAGUGGCCAGCUGGAGGAGUUCCGGCGAGAUCCAACCACCGUCUAAAAGCUCUGUUCCGACUUAACCACCAGGGGUGGGGUGAGUGGGGGAGGUGAGAUAAAUUAAAUAAAUUUAAUUAAGCUGAAAUUAGGAGAGAGUGAUUAGUCAAAUUAAAGUUAAUUAAUAAUCUGCUGAUUAGGUAAGCAAAUAGAGGUUAGUAAAAAUAAUUUAACCAAUGACUUACGAAAUGGGGGGAAAAUAUGGGAAAAUUGCAUGCUAUGAUUGGGGGGGGUAUGAGAGAGAUGCUUGUGGAUAAGAAUGAUAAAAUAAAAACAAAAAUAAAAAGGCUAAAUACAAUUAAAAAAGUCUGCACAUGGGCCAAAAUGAGGGGGGAGAAAAGGUAUGCACGUGGGCAAAAACCAAUUGGGUAAAAAAACAAUAAUAAGAAUAAAAACUGCAAUUAAAAAUCCUUGCACGUGGGUUUUAGUAAUGGUAUACAAGCACGUGGGUAGGGAGGGGCAACCAAAGAAAAAUGCUAGAAACUGGCCCAAUUGCACCAAAUGGGCAAUGGUCCACAAAAUUAAAAAUUCACUAUACAUGAACGUGGGGGUGGAAACCAUAAACGAAGAAUUGAAUAAAAAACAUUUGAUAUUCCUAGAUAAGCAAGUGGGGUGCAUAGAGAAAUCCAUUAUAGUGUGAAUGGGUCUAACCAACUCUUCAGAGUUGGGCAAGACCAAACCCCACACAAAAAUGGAGAUGGGCCUAAUCCAAGGGGGGAUGGAAAUGCAAGGGGGCAAAGGCAAAAACUUAGGAGACCUAACCAAAUUAGCAGAACUCAGAAUUUGGCCAAAAGUCAAAAUUGGCCGAAUUUGACUAGAAGUCAAACGAAUUUGACCAAUAAUCAAACAACAAUUUUGCCUAAGAGUCAGCGAUAUUGGAGAUGGGGUUUGUGCACUAUGGCUCCCGACAGUCAAAAUGGACAAUCCCUUACCACCCAAAUUCCCCAGAGUUUGAUCAAAAGUCAAAAUCAACCAAUUUUGGCCAAUAGUCAAAAUCAACUGAUUUUGACCAAUAGUCAAAAUUGGAGCUUGGGCAAGAGGCAAACCCGGGAUGAUACUACCCACCCGGUAGUGACCCGACAACGACCCAAUAGUGACCCGACUGGGACCCGUUAGCCAACCAGAACAAAAAAAAUGGUCAUCGAUACCACACCAAACCCUAGGCACACUAACAGACCCGACACAGACCCGAUAAACAAAAAGGCACCAAAAAUAAAAUAAAUAAAAUAAAAUAAAAACAAUAAAUGUCGUUUGGGAGCUGGAAUGUGUAUGGGCUGAAUAGUGACCUAAGGAAGAAUGCGGUAAAGAAGUUUGUGAAAAAACACAAGUUGGACCUCUUUGGACUUUAUGAAACUAAAAUCAUGAAGAAGAACUUCCAACAUAUCAGUAAGAUAUUUGGACAGAAAUUUUCGGUAAUAUCAAACAGAGAACAAUCUGACCCUAGGGCAGACUCUAUCUGGAUGGUAUGGGACACUGGUCUUUGGGACAUAGAAGAUCCAAUUCUACACGACCACUACAUACAUUGUUUUGCAAAAAACAAAGGGGGGUUCAAUAUAAACAUAACCAUGGUGUAUGCAUCGUCAGAUUACCAGGUGAGGGAGGAAACAUGGAGGGACCUAAAAACACUAAGUAGAGCCAUUAGGGGCCCAUGGAUUGUCCUUGGCGAUUUUAAUGAGGUUAGGAAUAGGGAAGAUAGGAUUGGAAAGCAUGCGGUUGUAAAAAUGCCCCACAUAAGACAAUUUAAUAAAGACCUAAAUGAAGCAUGCUUAAAAGAAAUUAUUAUAAAUGGCAACCCAACAACCUGGCAUAAUAAAAGACAUGGAGAACAUAGGGUCUGCAGUAGAAUAGACAAGGGCUUUGGAAAUACUGAACUGUUUGAUCUAUGGCCGGACAUCAGACUGGAUAGCCACUCAGGUGGAUCAUCCGAUCACCGUAGUCUAACCAUGGACCUUAGGACGGUGCAGGAGAAGAAGAAGCCCUUUAGAUUCACCAACUUAUGGUUAAGGAAGGAAGAACUGAAGGGGAUAGUACAAGAGGCAUGGCAGAUAGAUGUCUGGGGCACGCCGAUGUACAUUUUCACAAAGAAACUCAACAACGUCAAGAGGGUCCUGAAGAAAUGGAAGACAUCAGAGGACCAACAAAGGAAGAUGAUGGCUCAACUAGAGGAGGAGGUCAACAAGGAUGAAAGCUUGCUUCAACAAACACCGUUUGAUGAAGCAAUCCAUGAUAGGGUAGAAGCCACCAAUAGGAAGAUAGACGCCCUAACUAAAACACAAGAGGAAAACGCUAGACAAAGGAGUAGAGCCUACUGGUUGCAUCUAGGGGAUAAGAAUACUAAGUUCUUUGCAGCCAUGACCAAACAGAGAAAAGUACUAAACUCUCUAUAUAGGAUGUUAGGGCCAAAUGGGAGGGUAAUGGUGUCUAGGAGUGAAAUGGAGGAGAAGACCCUAGCACACUUUAAGAACCUGUUUGCUGAAGGGGAGGAGAGCAUCUCUAGGGAAACUAGGAACUUUACUAAAAGAGUAACACCACAACAGAACCUAGACCUAGAGCAAACCCCUACCUAUGAAGAGGUAAAAAAGGUUGUAAUGAGCUUAAAUCCAGACAAGAGCCCUGGCCCAGAUGGGUUUAAUGGAGCCUUCUUUAGGGCCUUUUGGACCAUAAUGGACAAGGAUCUUGUCAAAGCAAUACAAUCAAUUUUCGUAGGGGACCCACUCCUAAGGCAAGUCAACUCUACCUUUGUGACCUUAAUACCAAAAAUUAAAAACCCGACUAGAUUGGAUCAAUUCAUACCAAUAUCAUGUAUCAAUACAACAUAUAAGAUCCUAUCUAAGGUCAUCACAAAUAGGGUGGUUCCAGUGGUAGACACCAUAAUAGACAACAACCAAACAGCCUUCCUCCCAGGAAGGCUGAUUGGGGACAACUACCUACUAGCAACAGAGAUGGUGGCAGGUUUUGGGAGGGGAAAUGGAGGGGCCAAUGCUGCUAUAAAGGUUGACCUAGCAAAGGCCUUUUACACAGUGAGUUGGGAGGCAAUAGAGGGUACAAUGGUAGAUCUAGGAUUCAGCCAGAAGAUUGUGAGGAUAAUAAUUGAUGAAGCACGGAAUCUGCUACCAGUAGGCUCGCGGGGUUGCGAGGAGGGCCGGAGGCUUUGGAGUCCACGACGCGCGCUCUACGUCAAUGUACCUGCAGAAGAGGAGGGGAAUCGGCGACUCACGUGGGAGUAGGCGAUUCGGGCUCCUUAGUUUGCUCUGGUUGGAGUGUGUGUUGUCAAGAUGAGUUGAGGGUAGAGGUCCACCAAGGACCCCUUUUAUAGGGUCCUGGGGGACGUUUUCCCCAUUCAUUAGCGUGGGGCCCACCCCAUUAAGGUAUCCUAUUAAGGAAUGCCUUAAUGGCGAGGGUCCGCUCAAGUAACGGCUGGGAGUCGGCGAUUCAGGUGUGGGAAUCGCCGAUCCAGAGGUUCAAUCGCCGACUCCCCAUGAGCCUAGUGGCAGCCUACCAGAACUGUCCACAAGGCCUAGAGUUAGCGAUUCACCCCUGGAGUCGGCGACUUGGUAGUCCCAAUCGGCGACUCCCAAGUGUUAACUUGGGCUCUUGACGUAGACACGUGCUCCGCACCGUGGAAGCCUUUCCGGGGGUCCGGCAUAUAGCGACGGAACCCUAUUCCUUGUUUGAAGGGCGUUGCUGGGAGUGACUGACGUAAUCAGGCAUGUCUCACCAAUAAUGAUGUGCAUCACCACAUCAUCUCUGUCCUUCCUUGUAAAUGGCUCACCCACACCACAAAUCCAACCCAAGAGGGGAAUCAGACAAGGUGAUCCCCUCUCACCUUACAUAUUUGCUCUAAUAAUGCAGAAUCUAACCAUCCUAAUCAAUGAGCGGGUAGCUAAGAAGCAAAUUAGUACCUUUAAGAAACAUAAUGUGAUGGGUAUAUCACACCUCAUAUAUGCAGACGACCUCCUAAUCUUUUGCAAAGCUAGGGAGGAGUCAUUCAAGUCGGUGAAUGAAGUAUUCAGAGUGUUUGAGGAAAGAACAGGGCUGAAGGUGAGUGAGCCAAAGAGUGAAGUCUUCUUCUCGAACUCCACCAGAGAAAGGAAACUCUACUAACUCACCUAAAAUUCAAGGAGGGAGAGUUCCCCACAACCUACCUAGGGUUACCUCUGUCUCCUAGAAUACUUUACCAGAAAGAUUGUGCACCGCUGAUAGAAAGGGUGAAUGGGAUGGUAGAGGGAUGGAAAACAAGACUACUAUCCCAUGCGGGCAGAGUUCAAUUAUACCAUUGGGGGAUAAUGAGAAUUUUUAAUUUUUGGAACAUGUCUAGCAGGCUCCCGGUGGAAACACUAAAGGAGCUACAAUCCAUAACAUAUAGAUACAUAUGGAAUGGAAAACAGAAUAUGUCUUGGGCACAAAUGGUGCUACCCAAGAAGGAGGGUGGGCUAGGACUAAGGAGCUACCAUGAGUCGGCUGAGGCAGCCAGACUAACAAGAUUAGGAAGGAUAUGGUCAUCCCAAGACUCCAUAUGGGCAUCAUGGAUGAGGGGUAGAUAUGUAGGUGGGAGGGGACUACUGAGCAUUGGUAAGCACCCUAGUUUAGAUUCAGCCUUAUGGGCUGAGAUAAUGGACUAUAAAAACGAAAUAGUGAAAACCCUAAAAUGUGAUCCCAACUACGAGUGUACUUGGGAGGGCAAAGGGACUUCGCUAACCUAUAAAAAUGCUUGGGACUCCGUAAGGGAAACAGAGGAGGUAGACAAUUAUUGGGAGGGAAUUUGGACAACUAGUGUGAGAAAAUUCAGUAUGACACUUUGGAGAGCUAGAUGGUCCAAAAUAUCUAUGAGGGCAGAUUGGGCGGGUAGAAUGGGAGGAGAUGCCACGGAUUGCAUUUUAUGUGGGGGACCAUGGGAGUCACAAGACCAUGUGUUCUUUAAAUGCAGAUUCUCUAAGAACUUGUGGAAUUAUAUAUCUGCAAAACCCCGUUUGAUUACAUGUGCAGGUCUAUUUUUAAAACAGGUCAUGGAUGAAGCACAAGCAAGAACAAAGAACUCAAUAUGUUGGGGAAUGACUUGGGCUUACAUUGCUGCAGUGGUGUGUGGAAUAUGGACAGAAAGGAACAGGAGGGUUCAUGAGGAUAGACGGACCAGGCCACAAGAGAUUGGGAGAAGACUAGUGGAAGAUAUCACCUCAACAUUCAUGCCGAGCAGGUACAAGGCAAUAGGGACACCUCAGGAACAAAGGAUGGCACAAGGCUGGAAUGGCGGGGGGGGAAAUGCCCCAAGUUAAUUGCUAUUUUACUUCUGUUGUAUUUAAUUAAACUGCUUGUUGCAACUUAAAUUUGGUAGGAACAAUAAUAACAUGUAAUUGGUAGGCUAGCGAUAGGGGGGGUUCAAUUAAAAAUAGAACCCAAACCUAUCAACGGCAAAGGUCUAGCAUGUAUGGUAAAUGGACUGAUCUAAAAUCAUGUCCAAUAGGAACCCCUGCCCCAAUAGGGACAAGGACCUUCCUAAGUCUUAGUAGAAGCGAUAUGUGGAAUCACUUACAAAUUAGUGGACCGAAAGGUGAUGGCAGAGUUUUCCCUUGGAAAAGGAAAAGAGGCCAUGGGCACACCAGGGUUUUUACACUCCCCAUUGUCCAAGGCCCACUAUGUGAGAACGAGGAGGCAUAGAUCGUUCUAGGAAUCAUUGAGUCAGUCCCCAAAGGCUUGGAAGAUUAGGCGAUCGUAAGAUCAAAUAAUUGGAUAAGCGCGGAGGGCGUGAGGUGGACCGCUUGUGGUCGCACCUCUUUUUGUUAAGAUCUUUUAUAUUAUCAGUG